AAAUGUAGAAGAACAGUUCGAGCUCUGUGCAAGCUGUCCAUCACAUCUGGUUGCUAGCUUGUUUACAGCAGGGUGUAAACUGAUGUUCAGUUACCCACUGAACUUUUUCAUUAAACCAGAACUUUAAAAUAUGCAUGUAGAAUUUUAAAAAAUAGCCUGCACUAACGAAAGCAAUUUUUUAAAGUCUGAAACAGGGCUUUGCCAGGUUUUCAAAGCCAUCUGUUUUCAAAGCCUACCUUCCUCCUUGUUUACCACAGCCUGUCUGCUGUUUUAACAACCUCCAGUGGGAUUUCACACGCCUCAUUAUGCAAAAUCACUGCUUAUGCAUUCACUCCGCCACUUGCCUAACUAAUCUCAACUCAUAACACCUUUCUGAGGAAGAUCCCCAGUCUAGAGUCCUCCGAUGGGGCUGUAGAUCAAGAACAGUGGUAGAGAGUGUCGGAGCAAGACAAAAAGUAUCCUCCAGUGAAUUACUGUUAGGAGACAGGCUUGAUCUGAGACCCUACUUGAGGUGAGAAGC
rnacentral:lncRNA from 1 species